rnacentral:misc_RNA from 1 species
GGGCUUGUGGUUCAAUUUUUGACAUUUUGGUACCCUAAGUUCUACUCAAUUAGCAGUUUUAGGCCAAAUGCUAUGACACUGCUAAUCUAUGCUGAUGUGACACUAAAUAUCUAAAUAAUUUUAAUAAAAAUAUUUUUUAUUUAAACAAAAAUAUUAAAAAAUUUUGCAAUUCCCUAACCCAACUUAUCUCCUCCUUACCCAAAACCCUAGGAAGGAAAGAAACUUCCUCCUAAUCAUAAAUUUCUCUACCUAUUUGACUGCACCUUCAGUCGAUGAAGCUUGUCUCUCACUUCCUAUCUUUCAAGAUAGAAGUUGAAGACAUCAGCAUAUUUCAUUCAAUACGUUAAAUUCCAAAUUACAUAAGAGAAACAAAAACUCUCUUUUUUCCCUUCCCUUUACAAUUUCAAAUCUUGUCCAGCUUCUCUGCGUUGACCAAUUUCAAUGGCCAUUAGAGACAAAAUAGAAGCAGAGGCAUUUGAUAACGAGGAAUACGGUGGUGAUGACGGUGAUGAGGUGGAAUGUAAUGUGGGUUGAAUUCCCUUGUAUGCGCAAGCUUUCUGUUGUUUGCCGUUCAAAACAAUAGGGAAAAUUACUCAGCCGUGAGCCAUCUGCCUUAUUGCAAAGGCUUGUGAUUAGAGAUUGUUUGUAAUUGGUGGUUUCAUUUCAAAGCC